UCCGAAUUGGUGUAGUGGCUAACAUAUGUCGCUCUCAUUACCUCCCAUUAUAGAGGAAUGAAGUACCGACAUGCCCGGGGUUCGAUUCCCCGAUUCGGAG